rnacentral:rRNA from 1 species
GACGAACGCUGGCGGCGUGCUUAACACAUGCAAGUCGAACGGAAAGGCCCUGCUUUUGUGGGGUGCUCGAGUGGCGAACGGGUGAGUAACACGUGAGUAACCUGCCCUUGACUUUGGGAUAACUUCAGGAAACUGGGGCUAAUACCGGAUAGGAGCUCCUGCUGCAUGGUGGUGGUUGGAAAGUUUCGGCGGUUGGGGAUGGACUCGCGGCUUAUCAGCUUGUUGGUUGGGUAGUGGCUUACCAAGGCUUUGACGGGUAGCCGGCCUGAGAGGGUGACCGGCCACAUUGGGACUGAGAUACGGCCCAGACUGCUACGGGAGGCAGCAGUGGGGAAUAUUGCACAAUGGGCGGAAGCCUGAUGCAGCAACGCCGCGUGCGGGAUGACGGCCUUCGGGUUGUAAACCGCUUUCGCCUGUGACGAAGCGUGAGUGACGGUAAUGGGUAAAGAAGCACCGGCUAACUACGUG